UACGUAGGGUGCGAGCGUAUCGGAAUUACUGGGCGUAAAGAGCUCGUAGGCGGUCUGUCGCGUCGGCUGUGAAAACCCGGGGCUCAACCCCGGGCCUGCAGUCGAUACGGGCAGACUAGAGUGCGGUAGGGGAGACUGGAAUUCCUGGUGUAGCGGUGAAAUGCGCAGAUAUCAGGAGGAACACCGGUGGCGAAGGCGGGUCUCUGGGCCGUAACUGACGCUGAGGAGCGAAAGCGUGGGGAGCGAACAGG
rnacentral:rRNA from 1 species